rnacentral:miRNA from 1 species
UGUGUGUGUGUGUGUGUGUGUGUGUAUACGUGUGCGUGCAUGCACACACACACACACACACACA